UGCGUAACAGCUCACUGGUCGAGUGGACAUGCGCCGACAAUACACGGGGCUAAGCUGGACACCGAAGCGGCGGGAUUUUAAUUCAUUAGAAUCGGUAGGGGAGCUUCCCAUGGGCGGAGAAGCCGGAGGGCGACCGACGGUGGAGCGCAUGGGAGUGAGAAUGCUGGCAUGAGUAGCGAGAGACGAGAGAGUAACUCGUCCGCCGUGAACCCGAGGUUUCCUGGGCAAGGCUAAUCCUCCCAGGGUCAGUCGGGGGCUAAGGCGAGGCCGGUAGGCGUAGCCGACGCGCAGCAGGCAGACAUUCCUGCACCGCGCACGCGGCGCUACGACCGACGGGGCGACGGAUGGGGGUGGCUCGGCGGGGUUCUGGACGUCCCCGUGAUGGAGCGCGGCCCGCGGACCAGGGAAAUCCGGUCCGCACACAGGGCGAGGCUCCGGACGAAGCGACUGAGCGAAGCGAGUGAGCCCGAGGUCCCUAGAAAAACCCCUAGGCAGGCGCGUGCGCGCCCGUACCGCAAACCGACACAGGUGGGUGGGUAGAACAUACCGAGGCGAUCGGGUCAACCAUGGUCAAGGAACUCGGCACAAUGGCCCCGUAACUUCGGGAGAAGGGGUGCCCGCGCGUACGUGAACCGGCUUGCCCGGGGAGCGGAGGCGGGCCGCAGUGGAGAGGCCCAAGCGACUGUUUACCAAAAACACAGGACUCUGCAGAAGCCGCAAGGCGACGUAUAGGGUCUGACGCCUGCCCGGUGCCGGAAGGUCACGCGGAGGAGUUAGCGCAUCGCGCGAAGCCCCGAAGCCAAGCCCCGGUAAACGGCGGCCGUAACUAUAACGGUCCUAAGGUAGCGAAAUUCCUUGUCGGGUAAGUUCCGACCUGCACGAAAGGCGCAACGACUUGGGCGCUGUCUCGACCAUGGACCCGGUGAAAUUGCACUGGUCGUGAAGAUGCGACUUACCCGCGGAAGGACGGAAAGACCCCGUGAACCUUCACUGCAGCUUGGCAUUGGCCGCUGGUCCCGCGUGUAGAGGAUAGGCAGGAGGCAUCGAUCCGGAGGCGCCAGCCCCCGGGGAGCCGCCCUUGGAAUACUGCCCUCGCGCGACCGGCGUCCUAACCCGAGGCCGUCAACCGGCUCGGGGACCGUGCCAGGCGGGCAGUUUGACUGGGGCGGUCGCCUCCUAAAGGGUAACGGAGGCGCGCGAAGGUCCGCUCGGGACGGUCGGCAACCGUCCUUUUGAAUGCAAGAGUACAAGCGGGCUUGACUGCGAGGCCCACAAGCCGAGCAGGUGCGAAAGCAGGCUCUAGUGAUCCGGCGGCCCCGAGUGGGUGGGCCGUCGCUCAACGGAUAAAAGGUACUCCGGGGAUAACAGGCUGAUCUUGCCCAAGAGUCCACAUCGACGGCAAGGUUUGGCACCUCGAUGUCGGCUCAUCGCAUCCUGGGGCUGAAGUAGGUCCCAAGGGUUGGGCUGUUCGCCCAUUAAAGCGGUACGCGAGCUGGGUUCAGAACGUCGUGAGACAGUUCGGUCCCUAUCCUCCGUGGGCGCAGGAGAAUCGAUGGAGGCUGCCCCCAGUACGAGAGGACCGGGGUGGACGCACCUCCGGUGAACCGGUUGUCGACCAACGGCACGGCCGGGUAGCCGCGUGCGGCGCGGAUAACCGCUGAAGGCAUCUAAGCGGGAAGCCGUUCCAGGGAUUAGUUCUCCUUCCGGUAAGGGCCCAGGUAGACUACCUGGUCGAUAGACGGCAGGUGCAAGGGCGGCGACGUCCUCAGCCGAGCCGCACUAAUCGCCCGAGCUCUUCCGGAA
rnacentral:rRNA from 1 species